UGGGGGAAUAUUGCACAAUGGGCGCAAGCCUGAUGCAGCCAUGCCGCGUGUAUGAAGUAAGGCCUUCGGGUUGUAAAGUACUUUCAGCAGUGAGGAAGGUGGGUAUGUUAAUAGCAUAUUCAUUUGACGUUAGCUGCAGAAGAAGCACCGGCUAACUCCGUGCCAGCAGCCGCGGUAAUACGGAGGGUGCGAGCGUUAAUCGGAAUUACUGGGCGUAAAGCGCAUGCAGGUGGUUUGUUAAGUCAGAUGUGAAAGCCCGGGGCUCAACCUCGGAAUUGCAUUUGAAACUGGCAAACUAGAGUACUGUAGAGGGGGUAGAAUUUCAGGUGUAGCGGUGAAAUGCGUAGAGAUCUGAAGGAAUACCGGUGGCGAAGGCGGCCCCCUGGACAGAUACUGACACUCAGAUGCGAAAGCGUGGGGAGCAAACAGGAUUAGAUACCCUGGUAG
rnacentral:rRNA from 1 species